AAACAGAUGACUCUUUUAGCUCUGAAAAGUGGUGUUGAAAGUGAUGCUGCCGGGGGGCGUGCGGCGCGGACAGACAGGGCUCCAGCUCUGGGCUGACAGUGACGGGAACAGGGACGUGUGUCGAUGACUCAUCCCGUCCCUCGCAUGCGUGUGUGUCUAGCCCUUGUCUCGCUGUGCUGCCUCCAUCCACAUCAAGUGGCACUAAUGGAAACGGGUCACCACUGUCCUUGGGAUGAGCCUAGUGUCAUGGCUGAGUGGUUCUGUCACCAAGUCUUUUCAUGGUUUGCCAUAGAGCUCGGGACCAAGACCACGCUGUUUCCAAAAUGCCCUGGUGACUGCUGGGCUCACGUGGUGGAGGGGUACCCCGGCCUGCUCAUGUGGCUUGCACGUUGUGUGUGUCUCUGAAGCUGGGGUUCCCUGAGCCAUGGGGAUGCCCCCACUCUGGGUCUGUAACUGUGGGAUACUCUCAACAGUUCCUUCUUCAUCGGGCUCAAAUGCAAUCCUUGCAUCCCAGUGUCUCAUCUCUGCCCCUCUUGUCCCCGUUGUCACUGCCAGCAUGCACCUCCUUAUGAGGCCUGGGCAGGACCCCAUCUCUCUGAUGAAGGCUGCCACCAUCUCUAUUGCUGCCUUCGUAAAUGUGCUCCUCAUUCUGGGCACACUGGAAGUGCUCAAGCACCAGUGAUGCUGAGCACUUCUGAGCGGCCACUGAGGUGCUUCUGGCCAACCUCCCCCCAGUCAUCCCCCAUGCACUCCUCUCCUCGGCUCUCCUCCCAGUCAUCCCCUAGACACUCCUCUCCCUGUUCCUCCCCCACGUCAUCCUCCAGCACUCCUCUCCCCAGCACUCCUCCCAGUCAUCCCCCAGGUACUCCUCUCUGUGUCCCUGGGGGAUUGCUGGGGGGUUACCCAGUUUGGGGUGGGAUGCAGGGUGGUGGUGUGAGGGGUAGGAAAGGCUGGGGAUGAGAGUGAGUUCCCUGCAGGGGGGUGACAGGAGCCCCACCUGGGGCCAGGUCCCUGUAGCCUUGCAGCUCCAGGGGCAGCUGGCAGGGGCCACCUUGAGAGGAGGAGGCCCUGAUCCUGUUCCCUUCCUCAGCCUGGAAGGCCUUGGCCCUCCUGCUCCAGUUCCGGGUGGAGACACCCCUUCCUGUGGCUCCCCUGUGCUCUGAGGCCCCGGCCUCCAGGGGCUGGCUCAGCACUCAGACACAGCCCUGGAGGGCAGCAAGGAACCCCCUCAGGCUGUUUUGCACGGGGUUUGUGACAGGGGACAGUGACCGAGGGAGCUGGGGAGAGCCGUGCCCAGCUGUGCUUCCGGCCCUGAGAUCGGUGCCAGUUCCCCACAGCUGCUGCAACAGACGGCCACAAAUGGGGUCAUUUACAACAGCAGAAACGUGUCCCGGCUCCGGCUGGAGGCCAGACGCCUGCAAUCAAGGUGCGGCGUGUCGAGCCGUGCUCCCUGCAGGGAGGAAUCUGUUCCUUGCCUCUUCUGGCUUCUCUGUUGCCAGCAGCCCUUGGCAUCUCUGGCUCGCAGAGGCAUCGCUCUAGCCUCUGCCUCCACCUUCUCAGGCCUUCCUUCCUGGGCCUUCACGCAGCUUCCCUCUGCGCAUCUCUGCGUCUUUCCUCCGCUUACCAGGCACCAGUCGCACCGAAUCAGGGCCCACCUCUCUCCAGGGUGACCUCAUCCUAACUGACAUCUUA